rnacentral:rRNA from 1 species
AUCAAGUAGGUAAAAGCAAUAGGUGGAUGCCUUGGCGACACCAGGCGAUGAAGGACGUGACAAGCUGCGAAAAGCUUCGGAGAGCGGCAAAUACGCUUUGAUCCGGAGAUUUCCGAAUGGGGAAACCCGGCUGGAGUAAUAUCCAGUCACUCCAGGUUGAACACAUAGGCCUGGCAGAGCGAUACCCGGUGAAGUGAAACAUCUCAGUAACCGGAGGAAUAGAAAGCGAAUGCGAUUCCGUCAGUAGUGGCGAGCGAAAGCGGAACAGCCCAAACCGCCGGGAUUUAUCCUGGCGGGGUUGUAGGAGCCCGUUGUGGGACCAGCAAGGUUAGAGGAAGCUUCUGGAAAGUUGCUCCAUAGAGGGUGAAAGACCCGUACUCGAAAACUGCGCUGGCUCUAGGGAAUUCCUGAGUAGCACCGGACACGUGAAACCCGGUGUGAAUCUAUGCCGACCACGGCAUAAGGCUAAAUACUCGGUGUCGACCGAUAGUGGACCAGUACCGUGAGGGAAAGGUGAAAAGUACCCCUGUUAGGGGAGUGAAAUAGUACCUGAAACCUAUUGCUUACAAGGUGUCGGAGCACUCUUGUAGUGUGACGGCGUGCCUUUUGCAUAAUGAGCCUGCGAGUUAUUAUCGGUAGCGAGCCUAAGCCAUGGAAUGGUGGAGGCGCAGGGAAACCGAGUCUGAAUAGGGCGUUGAGUUGCCGGUAAUAGACCCGAAACCGAGGUGAUCUUACCAUGGCCAGGUUGAACCUUCAGUAAAAUGAAGUGGAGGACCGAACCGGUGUAGCUUGAGAACUGCUCGGAUGAGCUGUGGUAAGGAGUGAAAGGCUAAUCAAACCCGGUGAUAGCUGGUUCUCUCCGAAAUAUAUAUAGGUAUAGCGUCGCAUGCUGACCAACGGGGGUAGAGCACUGAAAAAGCUAGGGCCCAUACCAGGGUACCAAACUUUAUCAAACUCCGAAUACCGUUGGGUGUAGUGCGGCAGUCAGUCUGCGGGUGAUAAGGUCCGUAGGCAAGAGGGAAACAACCCAGACCACCGGCUAAGGCCCCUAAUAGAUGCUAAGUGUUGAAGGAAGUGAAUUUUCCCAGACAAUGGGGAUGUUGGCUUAGAGGCAGCCAUCAUUUAAACAGUGCGUAAUAGCUGACCCAUCGAGAAGAUUUGCGCCGAAGAUGAACGGGACUCAAGCAUCUAGCCGAAGCCGUGGACUUCCCCUUUUUUGGGGGAGUGGUAGGAGAGCGUUCUAAUUGGGUCGAAGUCGUUCGGGCAACGAACGGUGGACCGAUUAGAAGUGAGAAUGCAGGCAUGAGUAACGAUAAACAUGGUGAAAAUCCAUGUCGCCGAAAACCCAAGGUUUCCUAGGGAAGGUUCGUCCGCCUAGGGUUAGUCGGGAGCUAAGGCGAGGCCGUAAGGAGUAGUCGAUGCACAACUGGUUAAUAUUCCAGUACCACCCCAUAGAUGUUUGAACUUCGGAGUGACGGAGAAGGUGACGGCAGCUACCUGUUGAAAGUGGUAGUCCAAGUGCUUAGGUUGUCCGGUAGGUAAAUCCGCCGGGCGUAAAGGCUGAAACACGAUGGGACCCCAAAGCUACGGUGGAGGGGGAUUGCUUUAAGCCAUGCUUCCAGGAAAAGCUUCGUUGUUAGUCUAUGAGGUGCCCGUACCGUAAACCGACACAGGUGGGUGAGAUGAGUAUUCUAAGGCGCGUGAGUUAACCCUCUCCAAGGAACUCGGCAAAUUAACCCCGUAUCUUCGGUAGAAGGGGUGCCCUGCUUAGGCAGGGUCGCAGAGAAAUGUUCCAACCGACUGUUUAGCAAAAACACAGCUCUCUGCCAAGUGGCAACACGAUGUAUAGGGAGUGACAAGUGACCAAUGCGGAAAGGUGAACGCUGGAGGUGCAAGCUUCUGGUCCAAGCCCCCGUGAAUGUCGGCCGUAACUAUAACGGUCCUAAGGUAGCGAAAUUCCUUGUCGGGUAAGUUCCGACCUGCACGAAUCUUGCAACGAGUUGGAAGCUGUCUCGGAGAGGCGCUCAGUGAAAUUGUAGUCGACGUGCAGAUGCGUCGUACCCGCAGCAGGACGGAAAGACCCUAUGCACCUUUACUGUAAGCUGCUAUUGGUAUUCGGUUUUUAAUGCGUAGAAUAGGUGGGAGACUUUGAAGUUGCGCUUCAGGGCACAAUGGAGUCACAAUGUGAAAUACCACUCUUUACUAAUUGGAUAUCUAACCUCUCACCCUUAUCGGGUGUAGGGACAGUGGUAGCUGGUCAGUUUUACUGGGGCGGUAUCCUCCUAAAAAGUAACGGAGGAUUGCGAAGGUUCUCUCAGGCCGGUUGGCAAUCGGUCGUCGAGCGUAUGGGUAAAAGAGAGCUUUACUGUGAGACCUACAAGUCGAGCAGUUGCGAAAGCAGGCCCAAGUGAUCCGGUAGUGGAAAGUGGAAUCGCUAUCGCUUAAAGGAUAAAAGGUACGCUAGGGAUAACAGGCUAAUAACGCCCAAGCGUUCACAGCGACGGCGUUGUUUGGCACCUCGAUGUCGGCUCAUCACAUCCUGGGGCUGGAGAAGGUCCCAAGGGUUCGGCUGUUCGCCGAUUAAAGUGGUACGCGAGCUGGGUUCAGAACGUCGCGAGACAGUUCGGUCCUCUAUCCGCUGUGGGCGCAGGAGAUUUGAGGGGUUCAUUCCCUAGUACGAGAGGACCGGGAAUGACGUGCCUCUGGUGUUCCGGUUGUCGUGUCAACGGCACCGCCGGGUAGCUAAGCACGGAAUAGAUAAGCGCUGAAAGCAUCUAAGCGCCAAGCUACUCCCAAGACGAGAUCUCCCAUACCCUUCGGGGUACUAAAGGGUCCUGGUAGACUACCAGGUAGAUAGGCCAGAUGUGUAAGUUCAGCAAUGGAUUAAGCUAACUGGUACUAAUGACCCGUGAGACUUGAUUGUAU